GACGAACGCUGGCGGCGUGCUUAACACAUGCAAGUCGAACGAAGAGCGAUGGAAGCUUGCUUCUAUCAAUCUUAGUGGCGAACGGGUGAGUAACGCGUAAUCAACCUGCCCUUCAGAGGGGGACAACAGUUGGAAACGACUGCUAAUACCGCAUACGAUCUGACCUCGGCAUCGAGGAUAGAUGAAAGGUGGCCUCUACAUGUAAGCUAUCACUGAAGGAGGGGAUUGCGUCUGAUUAGCUAGUUGGAGGGGUAACGGCCCACCAAGGCGAUGAUCAGUAGCCGGUCUGAGAGGAUGAACGGCCACAUUGGGACUGAGACACGGCCCAGACUCCUACGGGAGGCAGCAGUGGGGAAUCUUCCGCAAUGGACGAAAGUCUGACGGAGCAACGCCGCGUGAGUGAUGACGGCCUUCGGGUUGGAAAGCUCUGUUAAUCGGGACGAAAGGCCUUUUUGCGAAUAGUGAGAAGGAUUGACGGUACCGGAAGAGAAAGCCACGGCUAACUACGUG
rnacentral:rRNA from 1 species